rnacentral:rRNA from 1 species
AUUGAACGCUGGCGGAAUGCUUUACACAUGCAAGUCGAACGGCAGCACGGACUUCGGUCUGGUGGCGAGUGGCGAUCGGGUGAGUAAUGUAUCGGAACGUGCCCAGUCGUGGGGGAUAACGUAGUGAAAAUUACGCUAAUACCGCAUACGAUCUAUGGAUGAAAGCGGGGGAUCGCAAGACCUCGCGCGAUUGGAGCGGCCGAUAUCAGAUUAGGUAGUUGGUGGGGUAAAGGCCCACCAAGCCAACGAUCCGUAGCUGGUCUGAGAGGACGACCAGCCACACUGGAACUGAGACACGGUCCAGACUCCUACGGGAGGCAGCAGUGGGGAAUUUUGGACAAUGGGCGGAAGCCUGAUCCAGCCAUUCCGCGUGCAGGAUGAAGGCCCUCGGGUUGUAAACUGCUUUUGUACAGAACGAAAAGGUUUCUACUAAUACUAGGAGCUCAUGACGGUACUGUAAGAAUAAGCACCGGCUAACUACGUGCCAGCAGCCGCCGUAA